AUGUCAGGCAUGUGGGUCGCUGGAGGAGCAGGCGGGAGGCCCUUCCCUGUCUGCCUGCUAAUCCCUCUGAUCGCACUGUAUCUGCGUGUGCAGUGCCACCUCGCCGUGACUCUUAGGAGUGCUUGUGAGUCUGACACAGUGCUCAGUACUUCGUAUACAGUGCGUCUCUCUGCUUUCACAACAACCAGGGAAGGGACCAUUGUCUCCGUUUCGCAAGGAGUAACUUCCUGCUGCUGCCAUGGAAAUGCUAAGUUGCUACCAAGUCUCCCGGCUUCAUCCUCAGGUGCAGCCCAGCCUGCAGCCCCUGCUCAGACAGAGUCUUGCCCAUACGAGACGUCAGACUCUGGGAACGAGUCCUGCUUCCUGUCCUCAGGAGGCCUCCCCUCAUGCCACCCCUCCUACCCAGCCAGACGUGGGAAUGCAUCUCAACUGGGAGCCUAUGGGUCUCUGAUACAAAGAUGCCUUUCCAAGCAGUGGCUUGAACAGGGUGGACCAAGGGGCAGCUGAUGGGGUGGGGAGUCUUCUAUCUCAUGAAAUGGAACUCAAGGCCCAGAGCCCCCACCUGCAGGGCAGAGGGCCCUUCCUCAGCUCAGCAAGGGCAUUCCCGGGGCUCCGGCCCUGCCCGGACACUCACUCCCCUGUGAUGAGCUUUCCCAGGAGUCCCUACCACAGGUUUACCCUCUCAUGCUGGGCCCCGAUUGGCUAAAGAGCCUCCCCCAUCUACCACCGGAAGUGUAGCGUGGGGCCUGGAGCCAUCCUUCUCUGCAGCAUAGGGAUGCAGUAGGUGGAGGAGAGGGAGGCUGGAGCUGGAGCAGUGGGCAGCCUCUGGCAUGUGCCUUUCCACAGAGCCCUUCCCUUCCAUCCUCCCACUUCCCCAGGCUCAAAGUCACACAUCUGUUAGACUCAGUGUUCACACGAGUCAUUAGCAUCCUCUUCCCUAGUGGACUAUAAACAUCAUAAGAGCGAAGAUGGUGCCUGGUUCUGUUAAUUACUGAAUUGCUGAUCCCUGGCAGAGCCUGAUGGGUAGUAGAUGCCCUAAAACAGUGAUGGAGAACCUUGGCACGCGUGCCACAGUGGGCUACUUAUAUCACUGAAAGCUCUGAAAGGUUCGCCAUCGCAGCUUUGAUAUCAGCAGAAUGAAUAAAUGAACUUGAGUGAACAGGGAGCAAACAUUAAGCUCUAUGAAAGUGUUUUCUUCGUUAAGGCAUUUCUAAUUAUCCAAUCUUGUAGGGAAAGAGGAAAAGGUAACAACUGAAUUUCUACAUAUUCAGGGAUCUGCAGACAGAUGGAAAGAAACGGGCACAGUGGGCUCCAGCUUGCCUAGAAGGCGCCCACAAAAUAGAGCACUGGACGGCCAUGGGCCAUGGGCCAUAAGCAAGAUGUCGACUGCUCCCUGGCCAGUCCGAAAGAGUCCCUUAGUUUUGGGUCCACUAUGCAGCGCUGGCUGCCUAACAUGAAGCUAGAGGCCCAGAAAGCCCUGGCUUCAUCAUUAGUAUCCCAGGCACAACUCGAAGGUGGGGGAUUAAUCCCUCUGACAGGCACAUGAUAUCUGGAAGCCUCUGGCAUACUUCUGCGGGAAAAGUCCUACCAGCAGGCCUCUAAAACUUUCCCUGAACGUCGGCGGUGACAAUGUUCAGCUCACAAAAAACUUCAGCGACGAUUUGCUAACCACUUCAGCUUGCACCUGGGACCUGGGGACUGAGGGGAGGGGGAGGCGAGACCCCCAGGACACAGCACAGACCAGAGGCAGAAAGAGGCCGGGGACCCAGGCUGCCACUCUGCACACAGCCCACUCAGCCUUCAGCAGGGCACAGCACAGAGGCCACAGUGGGAACAAGGAGCCCCCCACCCACCCCCUCAAUAGCUAAGAAAUAGAAACUAGAAGAUAAGCAUUCCUCCUGGCCUGGGCAGAUCUGCUGACAAACUGCAAUUCUCCUCCCUAUACACUUUCAUUCAAAUGUACAUGCACUCAGGCAUGUUUAUAUAUUCAUAUAUAUCACACAUAUCCAUAUUCGCAUGUUUUAUGAAACUCUCACUACAUUGUCUAAGCUGGCCUUGCGAUUCUCCUGCCUCAGCCUCCCAAGGAGCUAGGGUUGCACACAUGUACCAUCACACCUGGCCCCGUACAUCCACUACUAAAAGAUCUGACUUCAGAGUCAGGUCUCAAGUUCUGGUCCCAACAGAGCUCACUACCUCUGUGGCUCCAAUCUAUCGCCGGCUGCGGCUUUGCCAAGAGGCAGAGCCGCUUUUCCAGGCAGCCAGGGGCCACAGAAGGGCACUGUUCCACGGCUCCCUGCUCAGGAAACUCGGGUUCCCGGAGGCUGGGCAUGAGCCUGAGACCACUGACAGGGUGGAGGAGAGGAAGCCAGGGGCCCCGUGCCCUUCUGUCAGUGGCCCUCACCCCUCAAGCAGGAGGUCACGCAGCCCCCCAGGGUACAAAGUGGGUGAUGACUGCUGAGCCUGGGCAGGGUUUGUGCUUUCCUCUCGACUCUAGCUGCCCAGCCCUGACCCAGCUCCUUACUUCUGAGUCUUUUUUUCUUUUGGUAUCAGGUAUCGAACUCGGGACCUUGUUCUUGCAAGGCAGGCGGUGGAACAACUGAGCUAAAUCCCUGGUCUUUUACUUCUGAAUCUUGCUGUUGUGCAGUAAAUGUUUCAUAUACAUUGAUGUUUGUUGAUUGACUGCCCAAAUGAAGUAAUAGUGCAUAUAUAAUAUCAACCACCUAGGAAAAGUGUUGCAAACAACUGCAAAUCAAGAUUGCUGUAAUUAGCACUUAUGUAGGAUGUAUAACUUUCUAGGCCCAUCACAUACAUUAACUUCAAUACUCACAAGUGUGGUGGUGCACACCUGUAAUCCCAGUGCUCCUGGAGGCUACAGCAGGAGCUCUGUAAAUUCAAGCCCAGUGACUUAAUGAGAACCUGUCUCAAAAAAGAAAAAAAAAAAAUACUUGAGAUCCAGCUCAGUGGGAAGGCCCGGGAUCCAAUCCCUGUAUCACAAA
rnacentral:lncRNA from 1 species